rnacentral:rRNA from 1 species
CCUACGGGCUGCAGCAGUGGGGAAUAUUGCACAAUGGGCGCAAGCCUGAUGCAGCCAUGCCGCGUGUAUGAAGAAGGCCUUCGGGUUGUAAAGUACUUUCAGCGGGGAGGAAGGCGAUAAGGCUAAUAACCUUGUUGAUUGACGUUACCCGCAGAAGAAGCACCGGCUAACUCCGUGCCAGCAGCCGCGGUAAUACGGAGGGUGCAAGCGUUAAUCGGAAUUACUGGGCGUAAAGCGCACGCAGGCGGUCUGUCAAGUCGGAUGUGAAAUCCCCGGGCUCAACCUGGGAACUGCAUUCGAAACUGGCAGGCUAGAGUCUUGUAGAGGGGGGUAGAAUUCCAGGUGUAGCGGUGAAAUGCGUAGAGAUCUGGAGGAACAUCAGUGGCGAAGGCGGCCAUCUGGAUCGACACCGACGCUGAGGCACGAAAGCGUGGGGAGCAAACAGGAUUAGAUACCCCAGUAGUC